rnacentral:tRNA from 1 species
ACCCAGCUGGUUCAGUCGGAGGAGCGUGAGACUCUUGAUCUCAGGGUUGUGAGUUCAAGCCCUUCGCUGGAUG